GAACAUCAGAAAAAACUUUUCUAUGCGAAUUGUCCUAGGAGUAAAGAAGAUACUCUGAUACAAUGACUGAUACAAUGACUAAUCUGCACAGGUCCCGACCCGCUCAAGAUGUGAGUGGUUGGCAGGUCAGGAAAACUUCAGUGGUAACUUGUACUAAGGAAAAUGGAACUAAUUAAACAUCAAGUGAGAGAAGGAAAGGAGAGAGAGAAACAACCUCAGUAAGACCUCUUACUGCAAUACUGUCUACGCUCAGUCUUCCCAGUUAGCAAGGAUCAUGGGUGUAAUAUAGGUUGGCUGACUCAGGAACUGAACCUCCGACCUCUUCACCAGUCCAGCAUCCUGCAACAGCACACUACCACUGUGCCAUAGUGACUAAGCCAUCUAUGUUGCAUUUUAAUGUUUUCGAUUAAAGAUAGUACAGGGGCAAUUCUUAGCAAACUUUAAAAUGAUAA